GUGACCCUUCAACUGAAAAAUCAUCCCAGCUUGUCAUCGUGUAGGCAACACCGACUCGGAGGGAUUUGUUUAAAAGACUUACUGAUACGAGACUCCAAACUCUCCGUAUCGGGCGGCGCAGCCAUCACUGCGAGAUGUACGUAAGGUUACGUCGAGCAAAGACGGAAGUGACGUAGGAGUGGUUGCAGAGUGUGAAGGAACUAAUUCCCUUGUAGGCAAUGACUCACUGCCUUAAGGACAAACCUCUGUUAUUUCACAAAACAUGGGAUCCAUUCUUAGAUUACAUUGGCAUAGAGAGUGAAUGGACUAUACAGAAGGGACUCUAUGGACUUUUCUGGUCUAAGAUUCCUCGAGGGAACUAUACUUGAGAGUGUAUUCAACCAGUUAUUAUAGUGAAACUGUAAUGCCUGGAUAUCUGCUUAUGUAUCCUUUUAAUUGAUUAAAUAAUCUGAGCUUUAAUGUUGUUACAUGUUUUUGUAUUGUUUUUUUUUUUCUUUCUGUACUAGCUAUGUUAUU